GACAAAUAGCUAAGAAAAGGUCGAUUUUACAUAAUAGUGCUCCUUCACAGCAUACCUUUACUGUUGUUUGGCAUUUUCGGUUACUUGGUAAAAUGUUGUUAAUGUAUAUUUGCAAAGUUUUAAACUUCUCACAUAACACUGUUCAGUCCGUUUGCUCAAAAUGGGACGAGAGUAAACUACAACCUUACCAACAUAGGCUGGCAGAGCAUUAAUCAGGGUAACAACCAAGAUCUCCAGGGUAACUCUGGAGGAGCUGCAGAGACUAACAAUUCAGGUGGAAGAAUCCAUCAACUGAGCAACCUGAAGCAGGUCACACAACUUUUACUUCUGCAGCCAGUUCACUUACACCAGUUAAACUCUAAAUGUCCAGCCUUGCGGUUUCAUUCAGCAAACGUUGAGGUUUUUCUUUCCAAGUAAAUUAUUAACACACUGAGAAAUAAUUAGCAAAUCCCUACGGUUGCCGUCGUAGAUACGAAAUUUACCGAAUUCUGCAGCGCCGGUAGCAACACAAGUCGCAUCAUGUCAUCAAUCCGCGUGUGUGAUUCCGGGAUGCUUGUGUGUAGCUCUUAAAUGUUUGCUGAAUCCUACAGAAUGAAUCACCACUCCUCCAGUGAAGCCAGUGUACCUUUCGCAUGCUUCCUCCUUGCAGCAGAAUGCAGGUGCCAGUCUGGCCAGCACAAGUAAAAGUGAGCAAAGGGAAGGAUCCUCUCCUGUGAUUGUCUCUGUCUGUCUACGCAAUAGAUGUGUUUCCAUUAUAAAAGUGCUCAAAUCUUUGCCUAUGUUCUCCUAAUGUCAGAAAAACUCAAUUUUGCAACUGCAGCGUUUCCACCUUAUUUCCAAUAAGAAAUCAAAUUUAAAUCACAAGUGAAUAAGUUUGCUCGUGCGAUAAGUCAUUAAAAAUCAUGAAUGAAAACAGUUGGUUGAAAUAUAUUAAUAAUUCAGUCAUGACGUCUCAUUGUCUAUCAACCAAUCAGAGGAAACGUUGAUGUCUUGGAAGAACAAGCCCCGCCUCCUUUGGAGCGGCUUCAUAUUUGGUGUUUUGGGCAAAUUUUAGUCGGACAUUUUACAGUUAUAGAUUCAACAUGUUGGAAUGACACACAGCUUUUUCUGAACUGUGACGCUGUGAGGUCUCUGGUGGAGCCAGCUGCACACGACCUGACAAAAACAAAAACAAACCAUCAUCCUAAUGCCACUUCCUGCCAUUUUCUUCGCUGUUUCUGCCAGUAGUGACAUCCGCCUGUUGAUCACGUGACUCCUCUGA